GACGAACGCUGGCGGCGUGCCUAACACAUGCAAGUCGAGCGGAGCUAGUAGCAAUAUUAGUUUAGCGGCGGACGGGUGAGUAACGCGUGGGCAACCUGCCUUCUACAGGGGGAUAACACAGGGAAACUUGUGCUAAUACCGCAUAACAUACUUGAGGGACAUCCCUUGGGUAUCAAAGGAGCAAUCCGGUAGAAGAUGGGCCCGCGUCCGAUUAGCUAGUUGGAGGUGUAACGGACCACCAAGGCGACGAUCGGUAGCCGAACUGAGAGGUUGAUCGGCCACAUUGGGACUGAGACACGGCCCAGACUCCUACGGGAGGCAGCAGUGGGGAAUAUUGCGCAAUGGGGGAAAUCCUGACGCAGCAACGCCGCGUGAAGGAUGAAGGUCUUCGGAUUGUAAACUUCUUUAGUCGGGGACGAAGAAAUGACGGUACCCGAAGAAUAAGCCACGGCUAACUACGUGCCAGCAGCCGCAGUAACAC
rnacentral:rRNA from 1 species